ensembl:lncRNA
UGUCACCAGUCAGUCAGUAUGGAGGCUUCUGUCACCAGUCUGUCAGUAUGGAGGCUUCUGUCACCAGUCUGUCAGUAUGGAGGCAGAACAGCUGCUGCUGGUGAACGUAGAGGUGCCCUAUAGACACAUAGAGGAGAUGAUUGGUUGGUAGACACAUGGAGGUGUUGGGGAGAUGAUUGGUUGGUAGACACAUGGAGGUGUUGUGGGAGAUGAUUGGUUGGUAGACACAUGGAGGUGUUGGGGAGAUGAUUGGUUGGUAGACACAUGGAGGUGUUGUGAGAGAUGAUUGGCUGGUAGACAGAUGGAGGAGAUGAUUGGUUGGUAGACACAUGGAGGUGUUGGGGAGAUGAUUGGUUGGUAGACACAUGGGGGUGUUGUGGGAGAUGAUUGGUUGGUAGACACAUGGAGGUGUUGUGAGAGAUGAUUGGUUGGUAGACACAUGGAGGUGUUGGGGAGAUGAUUGGUUGGUAGACACAUGGAGGUGUUGUGGGAGAUGAUUGGUUGGUAGACACAUGGAGGAGAUGAUUGGUUUGUAGACACAUGGAGGUGUUGUGGGAGAUGAUUGGUUGGUAGACACAUGGAGGUGUUGUGGGAGAUGAUUGGAGUCUGGGUGACUGUGGUCCAGCAGUCUGGGUGACUGUGGUCCAGUAGUCUGGGUGACUGUGGUCCAGCAGUCUGGGUGACUGUGGUCCAGCAGUCUGGGUGACUGUGGUCCAGCAGUCUGGGUGACUGUGGUCCAGCAGUCUGGGUGACUGUGGUCCAGUAGUCUGGGUGACUGUGGUCCAGUAGUCUGGGUGACUGUGGUCCAGCAGUCUGGGUGACUGUGGUCCAGUAGUCUGGGUGACUGUGGUCCAGUAGUCUGGGUGACUGUGGUCCAGCAGUCUGGGUGACUGUGGUCCAGCAGUCUGGGUGACUGUGGCCCAGCAGUCUGGGUGACUGUGGUCCAGUAGUCUGGGUGACUGUGGUCCAGUAGUCUGGGUGACUGUGGUCCAGUAGUCCUUUUGG